AAAGAUGAAUUUGGUAGAAAAGAAAACGAAUUCGAAUUAAAGAACUGAUCGGAUAGGAAAAGAAUAUAUAUAGAGAGAGAGAGAGAGUUGAGCUAUAAUACUAACGGUAGCAAACAAGUUUCAUUGUCACCUAUUUGUGUUUUAUGAUGGAGCUUUCAAAUCGACGAUCGACACCAUUGAACAUGAUCUAUACCACUUGAAGCAUCUAAAAAUCAAAUUUUAUGUCUUUUCGAUAUUAUUCUCUUAUCCAUCAAGUAGACGCAAAAAUGAAUGGCUAAAAAUGAAUAUCCUUUAAAAAGUGAUCACAGUAGUUUUAUAAUCCAGAUCAAAAGUAUAGACCUUCUUUUAAAUAGUUUAAAGAAUUUUUUAACCAAAAUUUAAUUGAUUUGAAUUUUUUUAUACCGUUAAACAAGAAAACGUUUUAUAUCGACCAUUAAAAUUAUAAAUUUUGAAACUCUUUGAUCAUUAAACCAAUGAUGCCAAAAAGAUUUAAAAUUUGAUUUCUAAAUAUUUCAAGUGAUAUAGAUUAUAUUUAAUGGUGUCAAUCAUCAAUUUGAAUGCUCUAUUAUUAAAAACAAUGGGUGGUAACAGAGUUCGUUUGCUAUCGAUAGCAUUCCAGCUCAACUCUCUCUAUAUAUAUAUUCUAUAAAAUUUAAAAUAUCAAUAGGAUAGUGAAAAAAUGAGGGGAAAAAAAAU
rnacentral:lncRNA from 1 species